CCUCGCCCCCUCCGCCGCCUGCGAUGCGUUCAGCCCUGGCCCGUGAGGACGGGACUACUUUCUGCCACAGAGCUGCGGCGGCGUCCGAGCGGCAGCACAAAGGCUCCGAUCCCAAUCCCGAUCCCCAUCCCCGUCCCGGGACGGGCCGUAAUCCCGGAGCAUGGCCCGGGGGGCGGCAGGCAGGCAGGAUGAAGUUACGAUGAGAAAAUCUUCAUGAUUUCAAGGUUUUCAUUCAGUCUAGACGUCUACAUCCCAGUCUCCCUCCCUCACAGAAUGUGACAGCUGCCCUUCAGGGGACAUACCUAUCAAGACAUUGGGAAAGCAUCUGGACUUCAAGGAUGAGGGGAUGCAGCCAACUACCAGUGAACAGGAAUUCACUGAGAAUUAAUGUGGAGAAGUGCAUUACCUGUGUGAGAGGAUAAGUAAUGCACAGGGAGAGCACAGCUGUCCAGGCCCAUUUCAGGAGGGUGACAGGAAGAAGUCCACAGGAGCAGAGCUCUCUGUGUGAUGGACACUGCCUGGGAACUGCUGACUGCAGAACUGGCACCUUAAACUCCACGUUUUUAUCAGCAUGGAGUGUGGGAUCAAAGCAUGUCAUCAGAUUCAAAUCCACUGAGAUGGCUUUGCAAGAGGCAGGAAAGCAAAAUCCAGUUUUGAAACUGUCUUCUCAUGUAAUUUUUUUUUUUUUUUGGUGGUUUUAUUUCCUUGUUUGUUGGGUUUUGUUAGUUGGUUAGUAACUUGAAAUAAUCCUUACUGUAAGCCUUUCCUGCUCCUACAGGAGUUAAAAUGAACUGAAGCACUAUUUGCAGAGAACACACCAUGCUGUUUGCUGCCCUUUGAGGGAGGGACUUUGCACCCUUCUCAUCCAUCUCAAGUAGAGCUACAAUUUAUUUCUUUACAAUUGUUUGCAGUGGUUACAAAAUUUGGGCUAUUUGCUUUACUGUACAAUACCACAAGACAGUUUUGUUCAUGGCAGUCUAUAUUUACAUGCCUUAUGUUUGCUCAGCACUGUAAAGCAACAAGAAAACAAGCAGCUACAGGAUUUAUGACACUCUCCAGGUGACAAAAGUCAACCAGCUUUUGGCCUGCUGCCAUAACAGAACUGGUUAUGGCCAGAAAGAGCCACCCCAAUGUGAGACUUGUCAUCACAGCGUGGUGAUUAAUGAUCCACUUCCAUGGGUGGUGCACAGUGAAGACCACAGGAGAUGUCAGUGGAAAAAUAGAAGAGUGCACAGAAGUUUUAAUGUUGGAAAGCAUAACAAACUGGGUGGACUUUUUUAGUUACUUUGUCUCGCUCCUUUUUGAUUCAUAAUACAAGUGCAUUAUCCAGGCAAAUAAAUAAGCUCCAAAAGUGCAUUUAAUAAAUCAUCAUAUUCAAAAGAA